rnacentral:rRNA from 1 species
AGGUCGCCGGGGCGUUGAGUUGAGUUUGAUCCUGGCUCAGGACGAACGCUGGCGGCGUGCUUAACACAUGCAAGUCGAACGCUGAAGCUUGGUGCUUGCACUGGGUGGAUGAGUGGCGAACGGGUGAGUAAUACGUGAGUAACCUGCCCUUGACUCUGGGAUAAGCCUGGGAAACUGGGUCUAAUACUGGAUAUGACCUCCUGUCGCAUGGUGGGGGGUGGAAAGGGUUUGUACUGGUUGUGGAUGGGCUCACGGCCUAUCAGCUUGUUGGUGGGGUAAUGGCCUACCAAGGCGACGACGGGUAGCCGGCCUGAGAGGGUGACCGGCCACACUGGGACUGAGACACGGCCCAGACUCCUACGGGAGGCAGCAGUGGGGAAUAUUGCACAAUGGGCGCAAGCCUGAUGCAGCGACGCCGCGUGAGGGAUGACGGCCUUCGGGUUGUAAACCUCUUUCAGCACGGAAGAAGCGAAAGUGACGGUACGUGCAGAAGAAGCGCCGGCUAACUACGUGCCAGCAGCCGCGGUAAUACGUAGGGCGCAAGCGUUGUCCGGAAUUAUUGGGCGUAAAGAGCUCGUAGGCGGUUUGUCGCGUCUGCUGUGAAAGCCCGGGGCUUAACCCCGGGUGUGCAGUGGGUACGGGCAGACUUGAGUGCAGUAGGGGAGACUGGAACUCCUGGUGUAGCGGUGAAAUGCGCAGAUAUCAGGAAGAACACCGAUGGCGAAAGCAGGUCUCUGGGCUGUUACUGACGCUGAGGAGCGAAAGCAUGUGGAGCGAACAGGAUUAGAUACCCUGGUAGUCCAUGCCGUAAACGUUGGGCACUAUGUGUGGGGGACAUUCCACGUUUUCCUCGCCGCAGC